rnacentral:rRNA from 1 species
AUUGAACGCUGGCGGCAGGCCUAACACAUGCAAGUCGAGCGGAUGACGGGAGCUUGCUCCUCGAUUCAGCGGCGGACGGGUGAGUAAUACCUAGGAAUCUGCCUGAUAGUGGGGGACAACGUUUCGAAAGGAACGCUAAUACCGCAUACGUCCUACGGGAGAAAGCAGGGGACCUUCGGGCCUUGCGCUAUCAGAUGAGCCUAGGUCGGAUUAGCUAGUUGGUGAGGUAAUGGCUCACCAAGGCGACGAUCCGUAACUGGUCUGAGAGGAUGAUCAGUCACACUGGAACUGAGACACGGUCCAGACUCCUACGGGAGGCAGCAGUGGGGAAUAUUGGACAAUGGGCGAAAGCCUGAUCCAGCCAUGCCGCGUGUGUGAAGAAGGUCUUCGGAUUGUAAAGCACUUUAAGUUGGGAGGAAGGGCAGUAAGCUAAUACCUUGCUGUUUUGACGUUACCGACAGAAUAAGCACCGGCUAACUCUGUGCCAGCCGCCGCGGUAAAAC